rnacentral:rRNA from 1 species
AUUGAACGCUGGCGGCAUGCUUUACACAUGCAAGUCGAACGGUAACAGGCCGCAAGGUGCUGACGAGUGGCGAACGGGUGAGUAAUGCAUCGGAACGUGCCUAGUAGUGGGGGAUAACUACUCGAAAGAGUGGCUAAUACCGCAUGAGAUCUACGGAUGAAAGCAGGGGAUCGCAAGACCUUGUGCUACUAGAGCGGCCGAUGGCAGAUGAGGUAGUUGGUGGGAUAAAAGCUUACCAAGCCGACGAUCUGUAGCUGGUCUGAGAGGACGAGCAGCCACACUGGGACUGAGACACGGCCCAGACUCCUACGGGAGGCAGCAGUGGGGAAUUUUGGACAAUGGGCGCAAGCCUGAUCCAGCAAUGCCGCGUGCAGGAUGAAGGCCUUCGGGUUGUAAACUGCUUUUGUACGGAACGAAAAGCCCUGGGUUAAUACCCUGGGGUCAUGACGGUACCGUAAGAAUAAGCACCGGCUAACUACGUGCCAGCAGCCGCCGUAACAC